UAUACAUAUAUUUGAAUAAAGCAGCAUAUUUUGCAGCAUAUUUGCCCAUCUUGAGAAGAGUAGUAAAUACUUGGAAAUUCUCCCUUUAAAAGUACAUUUUGA